AACGAACGUUAGCGGCGCGCUUAACGCAUGCAAGUCGAGCGAGAAGGGGGCAACCCCAGUAAAGCGGCGCACGGGUGAGUAACACGUAGGUAAUUUACCUCGAGGUGGUGGAUAACCUUCCGAAAGGAGGGCUAAUACAGCAUGAGACCACGUCUUCGAAAGAGGAUGAGGUUAAAGCGGGCCUCUAUACAUAAGCUCGCGCCACGAGAUGAGCCUGCGGCCCAUCAUGGUAGUUGGUAGGGUAAUGGCCUACCAAGCCGAAGACGGGUAGCUGGUCUGAGAGGAUGAUCAGCCACACUGGAACUGAGACACGGUCCAGACUCCUACGGGAGGCAGCAGUGGGGAAUCUUGCGCAAUGGGCGAAAGCCUGACGCAGCGACGCCGCGUGAGUGAUGAAGGCCCUCGGGUUGUAAAGCUCUGUGGAGGGGGACGAAUAAGGGUUGGUGAAUAUCCAGCUCGAUGACGGUACCCCUUUAGCAAGCACCGGCUAACUCUGU
rnacentral:rRNA from 1 species